AUUUGCUGCAGAUCUUUUUUAAGAGGCUGCCAGCACAAGGGCAUAGCUUCUUGGAUGAAGUUCCAAAUGAGAAGCUUUCAAGAAUUCAUAGUUUUCUCCGAGAAGGCAUUGGCCGCUGGAUUCUGCGGAUUCAAAAGAAACCAUAUUCUGCCCAAAUUGACGAAAACGAGUUAGCCAUUCUGUGGGGAAUCGUAGCCUGUUACCCUAUAGCAGGUGGUUCAGCGAAUGAGUCAUUGCUAAUGGACUUGGU
rnacentral:misc_RNA from 1 species